ACUUACAAGAAAUUAUAUUUUAACUGUAACUCUAAAGUAACCUGGUACGGCUGAUUGACAGUCCAAAUCCCUUAUUUACUCCCCACACUGCUUGUAUGAUGAUUUCUCCCUCCACUGUCGGACAUCACGCUGAUCACGCAUCGGGGACAGUUCUGCUACACUAUUAUUUUGCUUGUGUUUUCCUUCUGACAUCUGCAUUCUGCACUGCAAGCACCAACUUGAACUUUGACCUGAGCCUGAGGUUUGAUCCACCGUUUUGCAGUCAAACCUUCCGCCAUCUCCAGAUUCUUGAACACAUGAAACUGGCGGCUAACUUGUUAACGACCAAAAUCAAGCGCAGACGAGUCCGUAUUCAGGCGUUGUUAUCAUUAAAAGGAUUUGCAACGCACCGCUAAAGCGAGAUAGAAAACUGCAGAAUUUGCUCACCCUUUCAACAGCCGAGAAUUUAUUGCCAUGACGACUGAAAAAAGUGCUGCUGUGUUCAUUGUGCCCAAAGACGACACGGAAGAACCAAACUUUUGCAUCAGAACUGGGUGCACAAAACAGGCCACCCAGCAUCCUGACUGGGAGGAUGAGUAUUGCUCUGCGGAAUGUGUUGUUGCGCAUUGCAAAAAUAUAUUCAACCAGUGGUGCAAGACCAAACGGGAGGCUGAGGAAAAAAAUAAGUAACGACUGAUACGUAGGUUUCAUGAACAGAUUUAUUUCCAACAUUUUGGUGCUACACACUUAUGUUUCAUCGGUGAUAAAAAGACAAAUUUAAUGUUGAGUAGAGCUCAUGAGAUUCAGUCGUUCAGUUGUUUGCUCUUAGUUGUAGAGGCUUCAAUCGCGUCCAUGAUUGCCACUCUGCAUUUUAAAACAAAAAUGUUAGUUAGCGCCUCGUCAUAUGACUUUAAAGUUCCAUAAAUAGUGUCGGAAAGCAGUUUUUACAAGUUUUGUACUAAGAAACGGAAAUCAAAAUUUUAGAUUCUUAAAAAACUGUUGCCUUGACAAUUUUGUGGUACUUAAACUAAUACUGUAGCAUUACAAGAAAGUAGAGUUCAAAUUAGCAAAUUAAGCACAUAAAUUUUGUUCCUGAUCAUAAAAUAAAGCAAGAUAUUGUAAGCAAA